ensembl:lncRNA
CCCGCUGAAGCAGAGAGUGAGCCCGCCUCGCAGAGCGCUAGAUCGGGCUGUGCCGGUGACAGUACCAAACACCUUCAACCUGAGCAGCAGCCGUGGAUCAGCAGCAGAUCAGAACCGCUGUGGACUGCGCGGCUUUGGGAGAAGAAGCGGACUGUAACUACGAGGAACGGACAGCAGAGUCGAUUUUUAUUGGCGUGUUGGUGCUCUCUGAAAAAGUUGCAUCUGCUCGGGACGCACAAGAUAUCCACUGCUGAAGGAAAUACCCCCGCACGGGUUGGCUGUAAAUAACAUCUUUAAAGGCCACGGUCCACCUGAAGAGAAUCCCAGAAAGAAGCAAAGUCCUGGGAUGAAAGCUCUCUGCCAUUUUCCUCUCUCCCCCAGACCACCAGGAGGAGGACGCUGGAUGACACACUGAGGAGCUGUGAAUGCUGAUCAGUGGACUGACAAGGUGUGGGCUCAGAUUAGAGUGUGCUCAUUUUGUCACACAGAUGCAAGCACAUUUAUGGAAAUAGGGGUCUUGGCCUCUUUGCUGCUUCUGUUUAGGGACUAGAUUUGGAGAAGGAUAGCAGUUGGAGAAUGUGACACAGGGGUUAGAAGGAGUAGAGGAAGAGAUGAGGGGGUCAAGAGGUUAGAAAUUUGCGGCUGAGCUCAUGCUGUUC